UGGCUCGCUAAGGGGUACCGCAAGGCGCCCCGGCGUCCCGACGGGCGGGGUGUGGGGUUGGCUCGGGACCUCUUCGUGUCUUCCCUUCACAUCUUGCCCUCUCGGCGCCUGGCGGUGGCCCGAGGAGUCAACACAGGGGGAUAGAGCAUAUUUCCCUCACAGAAACCCAGUGCGGAGCCCACCCCUCCGCUCUGCAUCCUGUCGUGAGGCACAGGCGGGCCCCGUCCCUUCCCCAUUCCCGGCCCCGCCUCGCUGCUCCGGGCUGACUUCUCUCUCUCUUUCCCCUCUCGCAGUGCGUAGCCUGGGCCGCACUCGCCCCCAUGGCGGCCACCCGACGGGGAGGGAGGCGGCAGACAGCGCCCCGAGGUACCGUCAAGGCCUUUCAAUGUCCCCCCCGAAGGCUUUGGCCGCUGGCCUGCCGCAGAAGGUGAUGCACAGUAGGCCUCGCCAGUGGGGAGCGCUGGGGAUCGGGAGUCGUGCCUUUAAACGCCCAUAGGGGUCCCACUUAACAACUCCAUGUUUGAAAUAUUAUAGAUAUGGAUGAUCACACUAAAUUAGAAGCAAUGCUCAGGACUUCUUAGGAAUGAAUAAUACCUGCUGAUAGAAGGUUUCUCAAGUGUGUUGAUGGUUCAUGAACCUUUGUGAAAUAUCUUGAGUGAAAACAGUUCCUUGCAAAUUGAUUGAUCUCCAGGGAGGAAACCAGCAUGUGCACGGGGUUGGAACUGAUAUUAAACAUCAGCUUGUGAUUUGAUGAGAGGAUGAUUUAUGAAUCUGUACUAGAUGACUCCAGUUGCCUGUAAUGUCUUGAAAGUGAAAUUUGAGACAAGCAGUGGCUAAAACUACAUGCCUUCAAAGAUCAUGUUUAAACAGGAACCUUGCUGUUUGUUGAAACUGGGGUUUCUUAACAAACUGCUGUAGUUUAUUUCUCUGUCUGUGUGGAUUAAUUGAAAUAAAACAUGAAAAUGCUACCAGAA